rnacentral:rRNA from 1 species
CUACGGGGGGCAGCAGUGGGGAAUAUUGCACAAUGGGGGGAACCCUGAUGCAGCAACGCCGCGUGGAGGAAGACGCAUUUCGGUGUGUAAACUCCUUUUAUAUAGGAAGAUAAUGACGGUACUAUAUGAAUAAGCACCGGCUAACUCCGUGCCAGCAGCCGCGGUAAUACGGAGGGUGCAAGCGUUACUCGGAAUCACUGGGCGUAAAGCGCACGCAGGCGGCUAAAUAAGUUGGAAGUGAAAUCCACUGGCUCAACCAGUGAACUGCUUCCAAAACUGUUUGGCUAGAGUCUGGGAGGGGAAGAUGGAAUUAGUUGUGUAGGGGUAAAAUCCGUAGAGAUAACUAGGAAUACCAAAAGCGAAGGCGAUCUUCUGGAACAGUACUGACGCUGAGGCGCGAAAGCGUGGGGAGCAAACAGGAUUAGAUACCCCAGUAGUC